UGAACUCUGCUUCACUGUCAGUAGGACUUGAAUGAGUGAUGUCACAGAGGGUGGUUUCUAUGGAAACAGAUGGAUCAAAGUACAAACAGACUUACACUUCCUCAGACCUGGUCUCAGCCAUCGGACUCCACCAGGAUCCACCCUGAAAGGAGGGGGGGCGGAUCAUCAACAUGACAU